rfam:Bacteroides stercoris strain CL09T03C01 AA415_contig0018, whole genome shotgun sequence.
GUAAGUAAGAGUGUAACAGGAAGAAAGUUGCAGCAUAUACGCGGUGAAUUAUUCGGUGUCAUAGGAGCAGAGGCUUUUGGUAAGAUACUGAUAAUGAAUAGGGAAAUUAAAAGUUAAUCGUUCCCUGUCUCUCCGCUGGGAAGAAUUGCAAAACAAAGAAAAUCCCUGUAAACUAACAAUUUACGGGGAUUUU